rnacentral:rRNA from 1 species
GAGGAGGGGGGGGCGCCUACGCAUGGAGUCGAACGGGGCUUAUAUUUCAGAAGUUUUCGGAUGGACGAGAGAUACCCUUAAAGGCGGACGGGUGAGUAACACGUGAGCAACCUGCCCUUCAAAGGGGGAUAACAGUUGGAAACGACUGCUAAUACCGCAUAACGCUGCGAUGGGGCAUCCCGAUGCAGCCCCCGGAGCAAUCCGCUGAAAGAUGGGCUCGCGGCCGAUUAGCUAGUUGGUGGGGCAACGGCCCACCAAGGCGACGAUCGGUAGCCGGACUGAGAGGUUGAUCGGCCACAUUGGGACUGAGACACGGCCCAAACUCCUACGGGAGGCAGCAGUGGGGAAUAUUGCACAAUGGGGGAAACCCUGAUGCAGCGACGCCGCGUGAGUGAAGAAGUAUCUCGGUACGUAAAGCUCUAUCAGCAGGGAAGAAAAUGACGGUACCUGACUAAGAAGCCCCGGCUAACUACGUGCCAGCAGCCGCGGUAAUACGUAGGGGGCAAGCGUUAUCCGGAUUUACUGGGUGUAAAGGGAGCGUAGACGGCAGCACAAGUCUGGAGUGAAAUCCCGGGGCUUAACCCCGGAACUGCUUUGGAAACUGCGCGGCUGGAGUGCAGGAGGGGUAAGCGGAAUUCCUAGUGUAGCGGUGAAAUGCGUAGAUAUUAGGAGGAACACCGGUGGCGAAGGCGGCUUACUGGACUGUAACUGACGUUGAGGCUCGAAAGCGUGGGGAGCAAACAGGAUUAGAUACCCUGGUAGUCCACGCCGUANACGAUGAUUACUAGGUGUCGGGGGAUCAAGGUCCUCCGGUGCCGGCGCAAACGCAUUAAGUAAUCCACCUGGGGAGUACGUUCGCAAGAAUGAAACUCAAAGGAUUGACGGGGAUCCGCACAAGCG